rnacentral:rRNA from 1 species
AGCGAACGCUGGCGGCAGGCCUAACACAUGCAAGUCGAACGAAGUCUUCGGACUUAGUGGCGGACGGGUGAGUAACACGUGGGAACGUGCCUUUAGGUUCGGAAUAACUCAGGGAAACUUGUGCUAAUACCGAAUGUGCCCUUCGGGGGAAAGAUUUAUCGCCUUUAGAGCGGCCCGCGUCUGAUUAGCUAGUGGGUGAGGUAAAGGCUCACCAAGGCGACGAUCAGUAGCUGGUCUGAGAGGAUGAUCAGCCACAUUGGGACUGAGACACGGCCCAAACUCCUACGGGGGGCAGCAGUGGGGAAUCUUGCGAAAUGGGCGAAAGCCUGACGCAGCCAUGCCGCGUGAAUGAUGAAGGUCUUAGGAUUGUAAAAUUCUUUCACCGGGGACGAUAAUGACGGUACCCGGAGAAGAAGCCCCGGCUAACUUCGUGCCAGCCGCCGCGGUAA